UAGGUAGUUUAAAGUUGUGG
rnacentral:miRNA from 1 species